UGGGGAAUAUUGCACAAUGGGGGAAACCCUGAUGCAGCGACGCCGCGUGAGUGAAGAAGUACUCCGGUAUGUAAAGCUCUAUCAGCAAGGAAGAAAAUGACGGUACUUGACUAGGAAGCCCCGGCUAACUACGUG
rnacentral:rRNA from 1 species